rnacentral:rRNA from 1 species
UGGGGAAUAUUGGACAAUGGGGGAAACCCUGAUCCAGCAAUGCCGCGUGAAUGAAGAAGGCCUUCGGGUUGUAAAGUUCUUUCACCCAUGAAGAUAAUGACGGUAAUGGGAGAAGAAGCUCCGGCUAACUCUGUGCCAGCAGCCGCGGUAAUACAGAGGGAGCUAGCGUUGUUCGGAAUGAUUGGGCGUAAAGGGUGCGUAGGCUGUUGUCUAAGUAAAGUGUUAAAUCCCCAGGCUUAACCUGGGAAUCGCAUUUUAAACUGGACGACUAGAAUGUGGUAGAGGAAAGUGGAAUUUCUAGUGUAGAGGUGAAAUUCGCAGAUAUUAGAAGGAACACCAGAGGCGAAGGCGGCUUUCUGGGCCAUUAUUGACGCUGAGGCACGAAAGCGUGGGGAGCAAAUA